GACGAACGCUGGCGGCGUGCCUAAUACAUGCAAGUAGAACGCACAGUUUAUACCGUAGCUUGCUACACCAUAGACUGUGAGUUGCGAACGGGUGAGUAACGCGUCGGUAACCUGCCUGGUAGCGGGGGAUAACUAUUGGAAACGAUAGCUAAUACCGCAUAAUAUUAAUUAUUGCAUGAUAAUUAAUUGAAAGGUGCAAUUGCACCACUACCAGAUGGACCUGCGUUGUAUUAGCUAGUAGGUGAGGUAACGGCUCACCUAGGCGACGAUACAUAGCCGACCUGAGAGGGUGAUCGGCCACACUGGGACUGAGACACGGCCCAGACUCCUACGGGAGGCAGCAGUAGGGAAUCUUCGGCAAUGGACGAAAGUCUGACCGAGCAACGCCGCGUGAGUGAAGAAGGUUUUCGGAUCGUAAGGCUCUGUUGUAAGAGAAGAACGGGUGUGAGAGUGGAAAGUUCACACUGUGACGGUAUCUUACCAGAAAGGGACGGCUAACUACGUG
rnacentral:rRNA from 1 species